rnacentral:rRNA from 1 species
GAUGAACGCUGGCGGCGUGCCUAAUACAUGCAAGUCGAGCGAACAGACGAGGAGCUUGCUCCUCUGACGUUAGCGGCGGACGGGUGAGUAACACGUGGAUAACCUACCUAUAAGACUGGGAUAACUUCGGGAAACCGGAGCUAAUACCGGAUAAUAUAUUGAACCGCAUGGUUCAAUAGUGAAAGACGGUUUUGCUGUCACUUAUAGAUGGAUCCGCGCCGCAUUAGCUAGUUGGUAAGGUAACGGCUUACCAAGGCAACGAUGCGUAGCCGACCUGAGAGGGUGAUCGGCCACACUGGAACUGAGACACGGUCCAGACUCCUACGGGAGGCAGCAGUAGGGAAUCUUCCGCAAUGGGCGAAAGCCUGACGGAGCAACGCCGCGUGAGUGAUGAAGGUCUUCGGAUCGUAAAACUCUGUUAUUAGGGAAGAACAAAUGUGUAAGUAUCUAUGCACGUCUUGACGGUACCUAAUCAGAAAGCCACGGCUAACUACGUA